UACGUAGGGAGCAAGCGUUGUCCGGAAUCAUUGGGCGUAAAGCGCGCGUAGGCGGCCUCAUAAGUCCGUUGUGAAAGUCAAAGGCUCAACCUUUGAAAGCCGAUGGAUACUGUGAGGCUAGAGUCCGGAAGAGGCGAGUGGAAUUCCUGGUGUAGCGGUGGAAUGCGCAGAUAUCAGGAGGAACCCCAAUAGCGAAGGCAGCUCGCUGGGACGGUACUGACGCUAAGGCGCGAAAGCGUGGGGAGCGAACAGG
rnacentral:rRNA from 1 species